GAACCUUUUCCCUUUCUUUAUUUUCACCCGAUCUCACUUUCUCUAUAUAUAUUCUUAAUUUUUAUUUAUUUGCACCAUAAUAAUAAUAAAGCCCUGCCCUGUUUUAAGUAUUGUAACUCCCGAUCACCGCUACCCUUUCCGAUUGAUCUGGGCCUCAUAACUUAUGUCAGGGCCCUGCCCGACUAAGUUGUUGGGAUUCUAUCUCGGGACUUCGGGACAAGGUUGAAUUAGGGGUACUAUACUUACCACGAGUGCAUUAUAUAUUUUUAUAUAUAGCUCAGAAGUUAUACCCAAAAUUUAUACCAGGAGUCUUUCUAGUUGAACCCUAAAGUUACACAGUGGGUCCAUUCUCUUUGUUUUAUUCUCUUUUUGUGAUUUACCCAAAACUAUUAUUUAUUAUUCUAUUUUGUAAACAACUCUCAUCAAAAGUCAUACCUAUUAUUUUAUUUACUCAAUAGGAAACCCUAGUUGAGACACCCAAGUAAUCCUACACAACUCCUAAAAUUUUCAUAACAAUCAAAAUCAAGAUCAGGGCCCCUAAAACUUAGGAGGGGGAUAUUCCCACUUGAUGAUUAUCUUUAUAUCUCGUUGUCAAAAUUCGAAUUUAAUAUUCCGUCGACUCAUCAAGCCUACACACACACGUGGCAAGCCUAUAGUGAAAAGGUGUCCCUUACGGACCGUAAGGGAUAAGGCUUACGGUCCGUAAGCCUGUCAAUUUUCAUGUAUAAAUAGCAGGCAUCGGCACUUGCAGUCUGCUGUUCAUUCGACGAUCAAAUUCCAAUUAUACAUCGAGUUAUUGUCUAAAUACUCUAUAACACAUACACGAAUCACUAAAUAGUAAAGCGAGGUGCUGCUACGAUACAGGGUAUUAACUCAAUCGCUGCUACGAUUCAAUGUCCGAUCGAUGGAAACUAUCCGAUGGAUGUUUUAGUUCUAUCCUUUAUCAUUCGUCAUGAUUUCAACUUGAAUGUUUGAGUGCUGUCCAAAUUCGGGCUAUACUCUGUCAUUCAUUGUGAAUCCGAUGAAUGUUUAAGUGAUUGCACUUUGUCAUUCGUUGUGAGGGUUUUAAUCUCGUGAAUUGUCGUAAAUGCUGUAUUAGUUAAUUACCUAGUUUCGUAUGCAUCACUUCUUAAAUUAGGCUAUUAGUCUUACCAAUAGGCUAAACUUCACCUCAUACACCUACAAUCAAAGUAGAUGCUAAUUCUCAGAGGAAUCUGAAUCAUGAAGCUUGUUAAAUCAAUACUGCAUGCUUAUACUGUAAUUACAGUAGAUUGAAGUAAGGAUUGGAUCCGGCACUAAAGGACUUCAAGAAGUGGCUUAUUUUUAUUAAGAAAUAUCAUUUUAUUAAAAGCUACCUUUGUAAAACAUGAAUUCCUUUUUAUCUAUUUAAUAAAUAAAAAUCCGGUGUUUUUAAACUCUGAUAUUUUUCCUAACUCACGGUCCUGAUGAAAUUUCCGCUGCAAUGUUUUUUUCAAAAUAAUCACCGGUACCACUGGACUGCUCGCGGCUUCCGAUUCCGGCCAGGAUAGGGUCGGGGGUCGUGACAUUGCGACGGGCCUGUCAAACGGGAAAGCACAGACGAAAAAAACAUUGAACCCCACAUGCACGUUGCGGCGUGUUAACUCACAAAAUUUAAAACGAAAAACUUGCGAAAGUUGAAAAUUAUGGGGUUAGGAAGUUGAAAAGAUAAUGUUAGGGUUAAAUUGUAAAAGAUGAAAAGUUUUGUAUUAAAGGUAAAAAAGUCAAAAGGAUUAAAAUGUAAAACAUAAAAACCUUCGAGCUAAAAAUGGAAAAUGCCAAAACUUUUUUGAAAAACUCACUAUGCAUAGAUUACAACAAAAGAAAGCAACAAUUGGUUGCUUAUUUAUAGGAUGGAAAUAACAAUAUGGUCUACUUUUUUUCUCUAAAGAAGGGAAGCUCCUCGUCGUUAUUGUUUGUGUGUUAAUGUGACUUCUAUUGUUAGGACCUACAUCUUCGGUAUAAAACUUGAUCCAACAGAUAAAGUUCAAAAAAUCCUUGCAAGAAUUCAAAGUUUCAUGAAAUUUUCCAAUGUCCGAUCACUUAUUGUUUUACCAUGGACAGGAACUUAAACCGGAAUUUAUGGUAGACGCCUCCUUGAUCGUAAAUCAUGUCGGGCUGCAUUUGGGUUGUCGAAAUCUGAGGGAGGGCCAACCCUGAGUUUGGCAGAUUGUCUCGUUUUUGAUUUGGUAUAUUCACAGAUUGUUAAAAGGAGAGUUGAGUGAUGAAGAAGAACUUAGUGCCUUGAUCAAAGUACUUAAAACUAAUUUGGAAGCCUUCUUAGAUUGGACAGUCAGAAGCGAGUUAGAUAUUAGUAAAAAAGUGCUUUUCUUAUCACCACGUACUCAAGGUUGCCCAACACAUAUUGGCACCACGCACUCGAGGUUGCCCACCACAUAUUGGACAGUCAGAAGCGAAUGAGUUUUCAUAAUCGUUGUCCAUAUUUUUAAAGAUAUCAACGCUUGCUUGAAAUCUUCCUUAGUUUUCUUGAUCAUCUCUUCUACUUUCUCAUAGGCAUCAUCUACUUUCUUAAAGGCCAUACCCUUUUCAGCCCAACCAUUGAAAAAUUCCUCAAAAUACUCCUUCUUAUGAAUGAGUAAGGUUCUUACCAUCAUUUUUCUUUCCGAAGCGAUCAACAGCUUCAAGAAGGGAGUGACGUAUCUGUAGUCCGAACCAGGAUCGAAAAGUUCAGACUCAUAAUCGUAUUAUUGACCAAGUUUCAUGGUGGUUGAUUGAACAAAGAACUUUAAUGCUUAGGGUCCGUUUGGUUCAUGGGAUUCAAGGGAAACAGAAUUGGAAUUAGAAAGUUUUCUGUCAAAAAUCGUGUUUGGUUGAUUUUUGAUGGAAAUGGAAUUGGAAAAUAUACCAUCAGAUUCCCUCAAUCUUAGAAAUUUAAAAAUCUUUCAAAUGUGUGAUGGAAUUCAAAACAUUCAAAAAGAAUGUUACAUGAUUACUUAAAUACCCCUAUCGAUCCAAUGUUCACCCUAUCUUUAGAUCAUUUACUUCUAAUAAACUUUUCUCU
rnacentral:lncRNA from 1 species